rnacentral:rRNA from 1 species
GAUGAACGCUGGCGGCGUGCCUAAUACAUGCAAGUCGAGCGAACAGACGAGGAGCUUGCUCCUCUGACGUUAGCGGCGGACGGGUGAGUAACACGUGGAUAACCUACCUAUAAGACUGGGAUAACUUCGGGAAACCGGAGCUAAUACCGGAUAAUAUAUUGAACCGCAUGGUUCAAUAGUGAAAGACGGUUUUGCUGUCACUUAUAGAUGGAUCCGCGCCGCAUUAGCUAGUUGGUAAGGUAACGGCUUACCAAGGCAACGAUGCGUAGCCGACCUGAGAGGGUGAUCGGCCACACUGGAACUGAGACACGGUCCAGACGACUACGGGAGGCAGCAGUAGGGAAUAUUCCGCAAUGGGCGAAAGCCUGACGGAGCAACGCCGCGUGAGUGAUGAAGGUCUUCGGAUCGUAAAACUCUGUUAUUAGGGAAGAACAAAUGUGUAAGUAAAUAUGCACGUAUUGACGGUACCUAAUCAGAAAGCCACGGCUAACUACGUG